AUUGAACGCUGGCGGCAUGCCUUACACAUGCAAGUCGAGCGCCCCGCAAGGGGAGCGGCAGACGGGUGAGUAACGCGUGGGAAUCUACCGUGCCCUGCGGAAUAGCUCCGGGAAACUGGAAUUAAUACCGCAUACGCCCUACGGGGGAAAGAUUUAUCGGGGUAUGAUGAGCCCGCGUUGGAUUAGCUAGUUGGUGGGUA
rnacentral:rRNA from 1 species